ensembl:snoRNA small nucleolar RNA U3
AAGACUAUACUUUCAGGGAUCAUUUCUAUAGUUCUUAACUAGGAAAUGUGUUUCGAAAGUGAUGCGUCUCCCACACCACGAUGAAGAGAUUGGAUACUUUCUUCUGAGCGUGAAUCGGAUGUAGAGUAAUGAUUUGGUUCAUACGCUUUACAUCAUUGAUGAACGUUCCUUGCUGCAGUCAUGCGGUUUGGAGGAAGAGAGUAUGAUCAGAGUGGUU